rnacentral:rRNA from 1 species
UACGGAGGAUGCAAGCGUUAUCCGGAUUCAUUGGGUUUAAAGGGUGCGUAGGCGGACUGGUAAGUCAGUGGUGAAAUCUUUCGGCUUAACCGAGAAACUGCCAUUGAAACUGUCAGUCUUGAGUCAGGUUGAGGUAGGCGGAAUGUGUAAUGUAGCGGUGAAAUGCUUAGAUAUUACACAGAACACCAAUUGCGUAGGCAGCUUACUGGACCUGCACUGACGCUGAGGCACGAAAGCGUGGGGAGCGAACAGGAUUAGAUACCCCCGUA